UUUUUUGUGCAACACUCGUCUUUAUUUCAAAUUAAUUUCUACAAGCUGUUACAAAGCAUUGGUGGAGGCAAACACCUUAAUACAUUAAAUCUGAGUUAAAUUAUCCUUGAA